CUUCCAUAAAGCCUGAGCUCCACCAUGCAGCACCUGGAUUUUAGGAGAUAACCAAGCACUUGAACAACGUCCUACUGGGCUGUGCAAUGCCGUUGCUGCAAGACAUGAAGGAGGAUGCUUUCUUGUCUAUCCACUCACUGUUUAUACCAACCACAUGCUGCUGGGUUGAGUUUAGUCUUCUAUGAAUAAAGAUAAUGAAGGCAAGCUCAAAUUUCAGCCUUUGGAAUCCUCUCAAAAUGAUGGUGUCAGACUUUUCUGUGUAUCUUCCCAAAGGCAUACUACCCACAAAAUAUAACGUUUACGUCUGAAAAUGUUUCCACAGCUGACUUUGUUAAAUAUUUCACUGACCAUAAAGAAUUUCCCAUAACUGCUUCAGAAAAGAUCAUCUAAACUAUGGUAGGAAUGAAAUUCAUGGGAGAUAUGGCAUGGUUGGAAUGAAUGAAAUUUUAUAGAAAGCUCCUACCCAAAUAUCAUGUUGGGACCAGUAGCAAGGGGACAGGUGUCUUAGGAAAUAGUGAACGUGGUGUAAUCUUGUAAAAAAGACUUACUUUUCAAAAGUGUUUUCUGUUUUCAUUCAUGAGUUGAUUUCCUGGAAUGACGUUUGGAUCAACUUACUUCCUGUCACAAAUGGUAUAGACUUACAUGAUUCCAACUUCUGGUUUUGUAGCAUUGAAAUUUUGAUGGUUGUAGAUGUAUAUUCAUCAUGGGUAGUUUAAUGUUCAACAGAACUGAUUGCCUUGUAUUGGCUAGAGUCCAUUUUGCCAAUUAACUGCACUUUACAAAAUAGGUUUUGCAAUCAGAGCGCUUGUAGGGGUGCACAGGCUCUUCCAAACUGAAGUGCUUGCUGAAGUUCUUAGAAGUUCUCAAUCUUUUUCAUUGAAAGAAUACGUUCUCACUAAAAUGUGUUUUGAUAUUCAGUGGACAUGGCAAAAACACAGAAACAGUAUCAGUUCAGACGGGGUCCAGGAUCAUGCAGGUUCCACAAUCUGAAAGUAAUAUAAUCAUGAAGAUUAGGGAUGUUCAACCUGCAAUCCUCCUGCUGCUGUUAAUGUCUGUAUCUCCUCUGGUUCUAGGUGGGAACUGGAAGCUUUAGUUUAACAGAUGCUGUCCUUCCAUGAUGUACUUUAUACAUAUUGAAAACAUCUAGAUAACAUCAUGCUUUUUGUGGUUAUUAUACAGUAACAGGUAUUUCAUUUAAAGUAGAAGGGAAAAUUGAAGCAAAGAAGACUUUAAAGUAGAAGGAAAGGCAUAAUCUGGUACCAGUGUGUUGUGCACUCCGUCCUAGUGAUUAUAAUAGCUCCAGCUUGGGCUACUAUCCUAGUGAAGGCUGAUCCACCAUCUUUGUUCUUUCCCUUCAAUCAUUGCUGCUGCCUGAAAAUGAUGUGCAAUAGAGUGCAGCAGCAGAAGGCAUCCCUGGGAGAGUGCGGGCCUGGGGUUAGCUAUUAUUAUCCCUGUGGGGGCCUAACAAGUUGGAGCACCUAGUGGUUAGCACUUUUUUUCUCUUUAUCUGUUUGUUUUUAAAUUCAAAAUUGUUAUCUUGCGUCGUUCAAGCCAAAUAGCACAGAAACAUAUAGUACACAACGGCCAUAUUUCCCUUUUUUUCCUUUAAAUUUCCGGGAAGGUCCCCUGUUUACAAUACCCACAUUGCAGGCAACCACAUGCAUAACUCAUAUUUCACGUACUGCAUUGAUUAUAAUAUGUUUGCUGAAUAAAAAUCAGAAUUGAGGUAUACCAUGUUUGUGCUCCCUUCUUACAUGCAAGGCUAAAAUGUAAAUGUGCUGGGCUGGCUGCAGAUCGCCUGCUGGUGCUAUCAAUUAUUAAAGGCU